UACGUAGGCAGCGAGCGUUGUUCGGAGUUACUGGGCGUAAAGGGUGUGUAGGCGGUUUGGUAAGUCUGGUGUGAAAUCUCCCGGCUCAACUGGGGAGGGUCACUCGAUACUGAUCGACUCGAAGGCAGAAGAGGGAAGCGGAAUUCCCGGUGUAGUGGUGAAAUGCGUAGAUAUCGGGAGGAACACCAGUGGCGAAGGCGGCUUUCUGGUCUGCUCUUGACGCUGAGGCGCGAAAGCUAGGGUAGCAAACGGG
rnacentral:rRNA from 1 species